UCCCACUAUGGAGAAAAGAUGCAAAGGGUACCUGGGUGGAACGGAUAGAUGCUCCUCACCUGUUAUAACCCCUGACCCAAACAAAAGCUCCAAUCUUGGUUCCCAUGAUCCAGGCACAGACAAGGACAAAAGGGUAAGGACAAGUUACCCAGGCCUGUGUUUCUAGGACCUAAGGAGGCAAGCAUAACUUUACAUCAAGCAACUAAUGAACAACCACCCUAAACAUAACAGCUCCACUUUCCUUCCCGCCCUCAUUCUCCACUCUUCUCUGCCUCUACCAAGUCCUUAUCUAGUGAGACUGAGUCAUGUUCUCCUUAUCCUGACUCCAUGCCUAACUCAUUCCUGGAAAAAACCAGGCAAACUUAAUCCUUUUUUAUUUUUUUAAGACAGGGUCUUGCUGUGUCACCCAGGCUGGAGUACAGUGGUGCAAUCAUAGCUCACUGCUGCCUCAAACUCCUAGACUCAAGCAAUCCUCCUGCUUCAGCCUCCCGAGUAGCUGGGACUACAGGUAGAUGAUGGGCUCCACGGGAACAGAGCACAUGUUCGCUCCUGCCUCCUACACGGUGUUUCCUCUAAACCUGAGGCUCAGCAGACUUGUCAUCACUUAAAACCCAAUUCAGAGCGGGAGGCACUGCCAGUGAAUAGUUCAUCACCGACUCAGUUUCCCCAUGUGUAUGCUGUGGUAUUGGAUCAGCAACGAGAUAAGAAGAUCUCUCCCAUUUCUGAGCGUCUAUGAUGAUUCUGAGGCACGAGGUCACAUUUGACAGUACUAGGAAACCCAGGAAACAACAAGCAAAGAUGACAAAGGAUGUGUCUGCCUGGGCAGACGAUCUAUUUGGACAAGAUAAUAGACCCAGGCAUGGACAUGCUCUCCAAGAAAGAUGCCCUGACGGCUGCUCACACUGAAGCUGAAUCGAACAUUCCAAUCCUUAGAGGUUCCAGCGAAGAUCCUGAAGUCUCCCUGAGCCACUGACACAAUGGCCAUGCCAUCCCAGUGAUAAAACACAAACUGUGGCCUUGUUUUGGACAGAAAUAAAGAGCCCAGUUUGUUAGUGA